GAGUUUGAUCAUGGCUCAGAACGAACACUGGCGGCGUGGAUUAGGCAUGCAAGUCGAACGAGAAAGCUCCCUUCGGGGAGUGAGUAGAGUGGCGAACGGGACAGUAACGCGUGGGAAACCUACCCUUCGGUGGGGGAUAACACUUCUAACGAAGUGCUAAUACCGCAUUCGAUCUUCGGGCUGCAUGGCCUGGGGAUGAAAGGUGGCCUCUGCUUGCAAGCUGCCGCCGAUGGAUGGUCCCGCGUCCCAUUAGCUAGUUGGUAGGGUAACGGCCUACCAAGGCUGCGAUGGGUAGCCGACCUGAGAGGGUGACCGGCGUCACUGGGACUGAGAUACGGCCCAGACUCCUACGGGAGGCAGCAGUCGAGAAGCUUCGGCAAUGGGGGAAACCCUGACCGAGCGACGCCGCGUGAGCGAUGAAGGCCCUAGUGGUUGUAAAGCUCUGUCAGAUUGGGAAUAAAUGCCGGGGGCGAAUAACCCCUGGAGCUGAAGGUACCGUCAGAGGAAGCACCGGCUAACUCCGUGCCAGCAGCCGCGGUAAUACGGAGGGUGCAAGCGUUGUUCGGAUUCACUGGGUAUAAAGGGUGCGUAGGCGGCCU
rnacentral:rRNA from 1 species